GGAGGUAGUGACAAUAAAUCACAAUGCGGGACUAUCAGUCUUGCAAUUGGAUUGAGAACAAUGUACAACUCUUAUCGAUAAGCCAUUGGAGGGCAAGUCUGGUGCCAGCAGCCGCGGUAAUUCCAGCUCCAAUAGCGUAUAUUAACGUUGUUGCAGUUAAAAAGCUCGUAGUUGAAGUGUGGGUGAUCGCUAUUGUGAGACUUCGGUCUCUCGACAGUAAGUCACCCCCUUCCAGUAUCCAGUAGUGGGUAUUCACUUACUUACUACUGUGUGUUGGUCCUUUACUGUGAGAAAAUUAGAGUGUUCAAAGCAGGCGUUUGCUUGAAUAGAUUAGCAUGGAAUAAUAAUUGAAGGCUUUCGUGUUCGAUUUGAUUGGUUUGUUCAUGGAAGCAAGGUUAAAAGGAACAGUUGGGGGUAUUCAUAUUCACUAGUUAGAGGUGAAAUUCUCGGAUUUAUGGAAGAUGAACAAGUGCGAAAGCA
rnacentral:rRNA from 1 species